rnacentral:sRNA from 1 species
AACUCAGAUGUUGAACGUGAAGGAUAACGUUGCGUCAGCAACGGCCCGUAGGGCAAGGCGAAGCCGAGUCAUCCUGCACGACCCACCA